GGGGAGCAUCCAAUAAUUGAGAUGUUAUCUGAUACGACCUUCCUACAGAGAAGCUCUGCUUUUUUCCUACUUGUAGUGCUUGAGCAAGUUCUACGAGUCUCAGAUUGCCAGAGACAUGA
rfam:Morus notabilis contig12251, whole genome shotgun sequence.